rnacentral:lncRNA from 12 species
AAAUAGAAUUUUAACAUUGACUUUCAAUAAUUAUUUUUACAAUUUGCCUCCUGUCUUCUGUUAACUGUUGCCAUUAAAAAUGUUUUCUUGGUUUACAGGGUGCCGUGACUGGUGACUAAUCCCUUUUGCAGUCAACAUGAUUCUCAAGACACACACUGCGGGUCUGAUCUAUUGACUGCUCCCCCAGCAAUUGCAUAUCAUCUCAUCCUUUCUGCUCUGCAACAUGAAAGGGGACAAGACAAAUUAAAGUCUGUCUGUGAUACUCAAUAUCCAGGCACACAGGAUUUCAAGGUGAAAAGGAAUUCUAGAUCAAUGAGUAGAAAUCCCCAAAUCCUUGUUUCUGCUUUUCCACCUAAACUCAGCAUAUCCUUCUGCCUUGUGACUUGAUGAUCAGCUGAAAAACACAGACAGGAGGCUUUUCAUAUGGGGUGACUCAUUACCAACAGAGAGAGCCCAUCCUGCUGCUCUCAGCCUCCUUAGCAUUGCAAACUAGGCUGCCUAUGGCUGUGGGCUCUGACCGUGACCCAACUCAGAAGCCUGCACAUCCCAUGUCUCCUAUUUCCUCCCUCCUCCCUAGCAAACAUUUCUAGAUUCCUCCCUAACACUGGGUCAGAAGCUCCUCCAUUUGAGAAGUCUGGAGGGAAACUUCCUUCUAAUUUGGAAACCCCAGUCCUAUAGGUCCAGUGGCUCUAAGCUUUGCUGCUGAGUCUCCAAGGAAACCAUUGCUAUUUGUGACUGUUUGGAGCUCAAGAAGUAAUUCUUACCUGCUCUGGCAAGACUGACAGUGUCAUGACAGCUUCAAGAGGCUGUCGUUUCCACAACGAGAGAUUCUGUAAAUCGAUUAUUAAUGAAGCGCUGCCAUAUUUUAAGUGACUCUCUUCUUUGAGGGAGCGUGUUUAUAUUUAAUUAUUGAAAUGUGAGCUGUGCAAUGGCACAGUAGCACAAAAGUCAGCUAUUAUCCCCCCCAAAUGGUUCAAAAAUCAAUCUUCAUUCCAAAACCCAUAAUAAAAAAAUAAAAAAAUUGCA